rnacentral:rRNA from 1 species
GAUGAACGCUGGCGGCGUGCCUAAUACAUGCAAGUCGAGCGAACAGACGAGGAUCUUGCUCCUCUGACGUUAGCGGCGGACGGGUGAGUAACACGUGGAUACCCGACAUAUAGGACUGGGAUAACUUCGGGAACCCGAAUAAAGAACGGGUAAUACAGUAGAAAGCAUGGGUCAAUUGGGCAAGGCGGUUUUUGAUGUACCUAUAUAGGGGUCCCGGGCGCGUUAGCUAGUUGGUAAGGUAACGGCUUACCAAGGGAACGAUUGGGAGCCGAACUGAGAGGGUGAUCGGCCACACUGGAACUGAGACACGGUCCAGACUCCUACGGGAGGCAGCAGUAGGGAAUCUUACGCAAUGGGCGAAAGCCUGACGGAGCAACGCCGCGUGAGUGAUGAAGGUCUUCGGAUCGUAAAACUCUGUUAUUAGGGAAGAACAAAUGUGUAAGUAAACAUGCCCGUCUUGACGGUACCGAAUCAGAAAGCCACGGCUAACUACGUG